AUUCGCUCCACCACCCAGGCCUCCUGCUGAGGCACAAACAGGAUCACGGUGUUUCGGGGCAGUCCAGAGGAGGCGCGGCGCGGAACGCGGCCAGAAGCCUGCACCGAGCCCUGAAGGAAGACGAGACAAAAGGGCUCCAGUGCCCCGCGCCGCGCGCGCCAGCAUUUCCCACAGCCUCGGCGACCUCCGGAACCAACGAGAGGUGGGGCAGAGCGGCCUCUCGUGAAGCCUGAACCCGAGCCCUUCCUUCAGCUGGUCCACUCCGCCCGACGUACUUCCGGCGUAUUAGUCCACCCUCCCAUCCCCACUAGUCGGCGUCCGUCAAAUCGUUCCCUGGGAAACGUAGGCUUUGAAGAGAGAGCCCGAGAGUGCAAGUUUGUUCUGGUUCUCAAAAACUACGAAGCUCCUGGGCAUUGUGGUAGAAAUUGAGGCAAUAUUCCGUCCGCAAGUGGUACAGGAACACCGCCCACCAAAUUCUGUACCCACAGCCGUGACUCAGUUUACCCUCCAGCUCGUGUAUAACUGUCCUAAUCUGUCACCAUAACGACAAUGGAUUGGAUUGGCGCUCAGUAGUUGCCCGUGGUUGCCAUAGUGACAUUCUUGGGUAGUCAUGCUGUUGUGCCCAGCUCUCCCACUGGGGACUGACCCCAUUCCCGUUGUCAUGGUAACUAGGAGGCCUAACUUUACCUUAGGACUGGGCGGAGAUUUCUCCCUUCCCUCUUUUCCCAAGGCAUCAACAGCUCUUUUUCAUAUUUUUUUCUGAGCCAGAAACGGUCAGGCAUGAUCCCCUUACAUACAGAGGGAAACAAAGAGCCUCAGCCUUUCAUUUUUGUCUGAAACACAUCAACCUUGCUCAGGUCUCUGACACUCUCUCAAAUACAAGCUUUAAGAGGCCUGUAUCCCCCCCCCCCCCCCCCCCCCCCCCAUCUCCUUCUUCUCAUUCUCCUCCUCCUCCUUCAUUUUACAUAUACAGACACUGAGGUUCUGAUGGGGCUAAACUACAGAAUCAGUGUAAGAAUCCAGAUUCUCAGAGUUUAGCCUCUGUAGCUUCACUUUACCCACCCAGACCCCAGCACCUUAUACAAAAAGGACUAAGACUAUGGUCCAAGACUCAGCUCAUCCCAGCCUAAGAUCUCAUGGGUUUGAGCUUGUUGCCAGAAUUCCAGCUCCCUUUAGGCCCCACAUCUCCAUCCUCUUGAACACACAAAAAAAGUAGAGGUUAGUUCAAGUUUCCAAACAAGAAUUUAUUCUUUUUUUUUUCCUUAAAAAAUGUACCAGAUACAAUUUUUCCC
rnacentral:lncRNA from 1 species